UUUAUCUUAAGGAACAGAUGCAGAUAUUUGGUUCUCACUCUCACUUAUGGUGCUAUCACUAGUAGAUAACUCACCUUCCAUGCAGCUCCUUUUGUCCCGGUUUAAAGUUAGCCCAGGACAAAAGGGGGGGCGCCACGGUAGGCUGGAAUGGGGCGGAGCUUUACUCCCGGUUGAUAUUUGCAACAGGGACUAAAGGCACCCCUUUUAUCCCGGUUGUAACAGCCAGAUUCCGG
rnacentral:lncRNA from 1 species